GCUGGGCAUAGUGGUGCACGCCUGUAAUCCCAGCUACUUGGGAGGCUGAAGUAGAAGGAUCACUUGAGCCCAGGAGGUCAAGGCUGCAGUGAGCCAUAAUGGUGCCACUGCACUCCAGCCUGGGUGACAGAGUGAGACCCUGUCUCAA
rnacentral:SRP_RNA from 1 species